ensembl:miRNA Mir6363 microRNA 6363
CAGGCUUUACUUUUUUAAUCUUUCAAGACAAAAUUCCUCUAUGUGGUCCUGUGAUUGUCCUCUGACUCACUCUGUAGACUGGACUGUUCUCAAAAUUGGAGAACUACCUGCCUC